UGGGGUAGGAGAUGGGGUUGGGAUUACAGAAUUCGGGGGAGUGGCAGGAGCUGGAGUCGUGAAACUGUGAGGUUCAGGGCUCACCGAAGGUGGACGUGAAGAAGGUGGCGGCGGUUGUGAUGGCGAUGAUGCAGUGAUGUUUGGAUGUGGUGGCGGUGCUAUGGAAGGAGGCGGCGAUGUGGAUGGCAAUGGUGAAGGUGGAGGCAAGGGAGUCGGAGCGCUUGCAGAUUUGGAUACCAUUAUAGCGAGCUUCUGGUUGAAGUUGCAGUGUGUGCCCACGCCUUCGGCUCCUUUGUCACAUGAGAAAUAGUACACGCCUGGCUGCGUCGCUUUCCACUGCAUUUGCUUUGCCAAAGACAGAUUCAUAAACAUCGAGCAUAACCUAGAAUCCUAUGCAUGGUCUGUGCAUAUGAAAGUUACUGAAUCAAGGUGGGGUAAUAAUUCGCAAAUGCACCAUGGGUUGCACACUUGGGAGAAUCAAAACCUACUUACCGA
rnacentral:lncRNA from 1 species